UGGUUUUAUUUCGUAAGCAAGUAUCAAAUACAUAUAAAUCUUUCAAAAGUUGGUCACCAAAACUAUCAUAAAAGGUUUGGUGGCUUCCCAUCAAAGGAAUUUAGACUCCAAAAUGAAAAUGAAAUCUUCAAUGGGAGGUAUCAGAACAUUCAUUUCGUUUUUUAAUAAACUAGAUCGGAACAAAAACCUGAAAAUUCUGCCAUAUUAAAAAAAAAACUCACAACUUCAUCAGAAAAGCAAAUCCUAAAGCCUUACAAACAUACGAUAAAG
rnacentral:lncRNA from 1 species